AGUUCGAAAUGCAAGAUUUUCUACAAAUCUUAAGUGUCUACUGGAUAACUUAAAGUGGAUUAAGUGACAUGCAUUUGGUCACGGCUCUCUACCGUCAAUUUCUUUUACAAAAAAUCCUAGUUGGAUUAGAUUUGCAACACAGUCGAUAUCCCAAAUUUUGAGAAAGGAUGGAAGGAAUGUAAAAGGUUGAAGCUGGUUGAUUUUAGUUACUCAAGGUUAGAGAAAAUUCUUGACUUCUCUACCUCAUGAAGAAUUG